CCCGCUGAACUUAAGCAUAUCAAUAAGCGCAGGAAAAGAAACCAACAGGGAUUGCCUCAGUAACGGCGAGUGAAGCGGCAACAGCUCAAAUUUGAAAUCUGGCCUCUCGGGGUCCGAGUUGUAAUUUGUAGAGGAUGUUUUGGGUACCGCCCCGGUUUAAAUUUCUUGGAACAGAAUGUCAAAGAGGGUGAGAAUCCCGUCUUGGACCGGCGGUAGGGCCUAUGUAAAACUCCUUCGACGAGUCGAGUUGUUUGGGAAUGCAGCUCUAAAUGGGUGGUAAAUUUCAUCUAAAGCUAAAUAUUGACGAGAGACCGAUAGCGAACAAGUACCGUGAGGGAAAGAUGAAAAGAACUUUGAAAAGAGAGUUAAAAAGUACUUGAAAUUGUUAAGAGGGAAGCACUGGAAACCAGUAUUGCUGGGUAGUGUAUUCGCUUAUCGGUGGUUCGGCAGUGAUGCGCUCAGAGUUUAACCCUGGGUUGUGUUACUAAAGGGCUGUCGGUGGGUCUAGCAUUGCCUAGUAGGUCAAAAUCAAUUUGCCUCGCGGGAGAAAGCUGUUGGGAAGGUAGGGCGGAGGGGCAACCCAAUGCCUGUUAUAGCCUGGCAGUCCUACCGUGGGGUGGAUUGAGGAUCAAACGCGCGCCACUAGGUUUCAGUUCCCCGACCCUGGGGUGCCAUUUGCGCUGGAUAGCAAAGCUAUGCACGUGGAGAAGCGCUCUACUGGAAGGGAUGAACUAGAUGCAGCGUUCGAGAUUUUGACGAAAUGGUUUUCAUUGACCCGUCUUGAAACACGG
rnacentral:rRNA from 1 species